rnacentral:rRNA from 1 species
GACGAACGCUGGCGGCGUGCUUAACACAUGCAAGUCGAACGGAAAGGCCCUGCUUUUGUGGGGUGCUCGAGUGGCGAACGGGUGAGUAACACGUGAGUAACCUGCCCUUGACUUUGGGAUAACUUCAGGAAACUGGGGCUAAUACCGGAUAGGAGCUCCUGCUGCAUGGUGGGGGUUGGAAAGUUUCGGCGGUUGGGGAUGGACUCGCGGCUUAUCAGCUUGUUGGUGGGGUAGUGGCUUACCAAGGCUUUGACGGGUAGCCGGCCUGGGAGGGUGACCGGCCACAUUGGGACUGGGAUACGGCCCAGACUCAUACGGGGGGAAGCAGUGGGGAAUAUUGCACAAUGGGCGGAAGCCUGAUGCAGCAACGCCGCGUGCGGGAUGACGGCCUUCGGGUUGUAAACCGCUUUCGCCUGUGACGAAGCGUGAGGGACGGUAAUGGGUAAAGAAGCACCGGCUAACUACGU